rnacentral:rRNA from 1 species
GAUCAUGGCUCAGGAUGAACGCUAGCUACAGGCUUAACACAUGCAAGUCGAGGGGAAACGACAUCGAAAGCUUGCUUUUGGGUGGGCGUCGACCGGCGCACGGGUGAGUAACGCGUAUCCAACCUGCCCACCACUUGGGGAUAACCUUGCGAAAGUAAGACUAAUACCCAAUGAUAUCCCACGAAGGCAUCCGAAUGGGAUUAAAGAUUUAUCGGUGAUGGAUGGGGAUGCGUCUGAUUAGCUUGUUGGCGGGGUAACGGCCCACCAAGGCAACGAUCAGUAGGGGUUCUGAGAGGAAGGUCCCCCACAUUGGAACUGAGACACGGUCCAAACUCCUACGGGAGGCAGCAGUGAGGAAUAUUGGUCAAUGGGCGAGAGCCUGAACCAGCCAAGUAGCGUGCAGGAUGACGGCCCUAUGGGUUGUAAACUGCUUUUAUAAGGGAAUAAAGUGAGUCUCGUGAGACUUUUUGCAUGUACCUUAUGAAUAAGGACCGGCUAAUUCCGUG